rnacentral:rRNA from 1 species
GAUGAACGCUGGCGGCGUGCCUAAUACAUGCAAGUCGAGCGAACAGACGAGGAGCUUGCUCCUCUGACGUUAGCGGCGGACGGGUGAGUAACACGUGGAUAACCUCCUAUAAGACUGGGAUAACUUCGGGAAACCGGAGCUAAUACCGGAUAAUAUAUUGAACCGCAUGGUUCAAUAGUGAAAGACGGUUUUGCUGUCACUUAUAGAUGGAUCCGCGCCGCAUUAGCUAGUUGGUAAGGUAACGGCUUACCAAGGCAACGAUGCGUAGCCGACCUGAGAGGGUGAUCGGCCACACUGGAACUGAGACACGGUCCAGACUCCUACGGGAGGCAGCAGUAGGGAAUCUUCCGCAAUGGGCGAAAGCUUGACGGAGCAACGCCGCGUGAGUGAUGAAGGUCUUCGGAUCGUAAAACUCUGUUAUUAGGGAAGAACAAAUGUGCAAGUAACUAUGCACGUAUUGACGGUACCUAAUCAGAAAGCCACGGCUAACUACGUG